CGGCGGCGGCGGUGGCUUCACUCCCGGCGGCGCGAUGGUGUCCCGGCUUCGCCCCCCCGGGCAAAGGGCAUCCUCGGGCGGGCCGCCUGUGGGGUGGAACAUAGCAGCUGCCCACCAGCACACCGUGUCAGUUCUCCUGGCCAAAGGUGUCAGGGAUGCGCUGUGGUGCUCGGGAGAUGGAAUGUCAUCUGUGAGACAACGUGUAACUUCAGUUCGUCCUUCCUCAGAAAGACUUCCUCAGAAGUCAGAUGAAAGGGGAGGAAGGCCAUACAGCCCCCAGAGGUCACUGGCUGUAGGUGAACUUUAUCAUUCCGAAGCCCACCAAGCCCUGCAUCUUGUGGAGUUCAAGGGAAGGAAAAAGCUCAGGCAUCUGCUUCCUCAGUUCAAUAACCAACAGAUUAACUUCUAAGUUCAAUUAACCAACAGACCCUCAACUGGGUUUUGCCAUAACAAGCAUCUAUAUAACACUUUUUUUUUUUUAACUGGCCUUUUUAGCAGCUGACGUAAAACAUCAACAGUCUUACAUACUCAGUGAGAUGUAAUGCACAAUACGAUUAAAGUCCCAUAUGUUUGUUCAGAAUCACUCAGCUAUAUGUAAAGUCGCUGGUGUGAAGCUAGAGAGGACAGUGAGUCCCACCCUGUGCAUGCAGAAUGGCAGAGCAGACUCUUGGUGAAUGAAGAAAUGUGCAGAGGGUUUAAUUCUGAAAGCUUUUUGUGCAAAACCCCUCCAAGGAGUGUUAGAAACCACUACAACUGUAAGUGAGCUUGUGAUGGGUAGAAGACAGGAUUAAAUUGAGGAUUAAGCUAAUAAGGAACAGGUUUCCUUCCUGUGCUGGGGUACACCCUUGGUAUGACAAGAGCCCUGUGCCAGUGUCUGGGGUGCUGCUGGUCCUUAACUGCUGCAGUCACAGCUGUGCCUCUGUGGUAGGAGCCUGCUCCAAAGCUGUGGCACACAGGCAGUUUUACAGUGAGACUAAGGCAUUUCCUGCUGGCUCUCCGCUGAACUUGUGGAAAUUGGGAUUGAAGCUGGGGGUGGGGAUGCCUGAUGACAGCAAUAAAAAUAAAUGGCUAUUGCAGGGGUAGGUGGCCCAGAUCAGAUAGCACUUCCUAUAGGGGUUGGGGACACGUCAUCCAAGUUCAUCCCGAGCAUAAUUAACCAUUAAUAGGGUUGCAGAGGGAAAAUGGAGGAGACUAAGAGUUAAAAGGAUGUUAGCUCCUUGGACUUUGGCACUGCUUGGUAGGGAAGUGAACUGAAGAACCAAUGCCAGAGAUAUGAUGGGUGUGGAUAUUUCACUUAUUUACUUAGGUUACUGUGUUUUCCUUAGCCAAUUAUAAAGUCUUUCCUUGUUUUAAUUGCAGACCAAGUGUUUGCAAACAAGGAUGGAUACCCAGCAAAGGCAGUCACUUUCCCUGUAUUUCUAGUUUUAAAAUGGAACCCUUGUUCCUGCCAGCAUCACUUGACAAAAGUUGCACAUCAAACCAGUUCUUUUCAGCGUUCUUUUCAGCCUGAGUGAGGCUACAAGUAAAACCAUGUAAGCUGCAACUGAACACAAAACCCAGGAAUUUUUUGUUCUUUUUUUUUGUUUAAUAGCCUGUCCAAAAAUAUAAAAAAGGCAUCUGCAUAGCAACUGAUGAUACACCCACUGGGCUGUAGUCAGCUGUUGUGCCACAGAAGCUAUGAGGAACAGGUAACACCAACAAUGACUGGUGGCACUUUUAUUUGUUGGGAAUUAUCUAAGUACCAGAUGAGCAAUUCUCACAUUACACCCAUGGGAUGGAAAAAUAUUUUCUCUGCCUUAUAAGAAAGACUUUAGUCCAGAAGAUUUAGAAAGCCAACAAAAUAAUUUGGUGCAACAUGCAGAAAUUCCUCCUCUCUCAUACAUUCUGUCACUAAAACACUAAGACACCCUGUCCUAAAAAUAUACCCAAGUUGUGCAAAUAUACCCCAGUAUCUUUCAUAAUUAUCAUGUGUUUGUUUCACCCUGUUCUUGUUUUAAUAAUAUCACAAUAAUAUUUUCGUCUUAUUGCUUAGCUUUACAAAUGUUUACAGUACCUAAAACAUAAGUAAUGAUAAUAACAAAUUUAUAUCAUACAAUAAAUUAAGCAAGCUGAUAGUAGCAGAGGGAAUAAUGUGGAAUGAGUAGGAUACAGUUGAAAUAAUGUAGUUUAUAUAUUAGCAAUAUAUAUGCUGAGUGUUUCAAUAGUUAUUGUUGGUAUAAUAGAGUAAACCUUUUCCCUUCAGGGACAAAGGUUUGUUGGUUUUGGUUAAGUACUGUGGAUAUCUGUUUUUGGUGUGCAAACCAUUUCUAAAAUUGAGAGAGACCCCACAUGCUUCCCAGCAGGUGAAUAAUACUUGUGACAGGUAGAUGUACUACAUGCCUAGGGAUAAGUACUCAAGAAUGGCAUUUGUGUGUUGAUGAAAUUUUGCAUCCAGGCUUUUCUGUUCUCUGAAACUUCACUUUGUAGAUACAUGGUGUUUGUAGUGAUACAGCAUUUCAUCUCCCAAGCAAAAUUUUGUAGUAAUCUGCAAAAACAGUGCUGGCACCCAAUUUAGAGGGUGUGUUUAUAGACAUGGGAUGGUACUGUUUGAAAAGGGGUCCUACAGCUGUUUCCUGAACUGUAGUAAAGACUUAGUUAUGACUUAGCAAUGACUUAGAUUAUUGGAAGAGAUUGCAGGUAGCUGCAGAUGGAACACACAGUGGUUGCACUCUAGGAGGACACUGCAAACCAGCAUGUGUGAAUUGAGCAACACUUGUUCUAUAAUCUGUUACACUGUAGUUUCACAUAAAUCUUGCUGCUGGAGCAAACUUAAUCCUAGCGAACGGAGGGAUCUCUUCAUUGAAACUGAUGGCUGUUGCAGAACUUUAAUUAGUCUCAGUACCUAUAAUAAUGCAUUUUGUAACACUCUUUAAUGCUUUUAAAGACUUGUAAAUCAACUACUCUUUCCCUCCCUAACUGUCUUGCCAAGACCUAUUUCUCCUGUGAGGUCUACAGAAAAGUCCAACUGCAAGCACUAAAAGGUACCUGGCAAAAUUGAUGCUUAAUAUUUACUUAAUCCAAAAACAAUGAUCAUAAAUGUGUAUGUAUAUAUAGGCAUUGUAAAUAUAGAAUUAUCUUUCUCUUUCCUCAUGCUUC